rnacentral:pre_miRNA from 1 species
GUUGUACUCUCUCCGUCUAACAAAAAAUGUUUCAAGUUUGUCAAAAUUUGAAUGUAUCUAGACAUGAUUUACUGUAUAGAUAUAUUCAAAUUUAGUCAAACUGAGACAUCCUUUGUUGGACAGAAGAAUAAAAA